CUGAAGUAGGUAGCCAUUUCCUUCUUCAGGGAAUCUUCCCAAUCCAGGGAUUGAACUCGGGUCACCUGCAUUGCAAGCAGGUUCUUUACUAUCUGAGCCACCAGGGAAGCCCUAUUUCAGAAGAAAGCCUUUCCCAGUUCCUGGAAUGAAGAACAACUCCACUGCAGAUUUUUUUCUGGGGGGUAAGAGAAGGGCACAAGUUAUAGCCCCGGGACGGUCUCCCCGCUCUGCAAAUGAAGAAACAAGGUUCAGGAGCUGUAAUCGGCCCAGCCAAGGUCGCUACAGGGUUCUUCUCGUGGAAUGCAACCUGUUGUCAGUGCACGUGCCACCUGGCCCUCUUCACAUCACCCUGUGGGAACUGGGGCUUAGGAAACAGAAGAAAAGGUGGAUUCUGUAGUACAAAGACGUUUCCAGUUUUGCAUCAUCUUCAGAGGAAAAGAAGAGUGAGGCUUCUCGAUCACCUGGCACUGUCUUUUUGUGCAUUUGUGUUGGCUAGCAUCACUGCCUCAUCCAGAAACUGGGCAGCACCAUGAGACUCCUGCUUCAUAACCCUGAUGGAGCAACCUGGGCCAGGUCUGGGAGGCAGGGGGGCGAACUUCCAGUCCUGCAUUGCAUGAUUGUAUACUGUUAUAACUUUUUACUGUUAGCUAAAUAACUUUACAAUAAAAAAGAUUUUAAAUACUGAAAAAUAAAAUGCAAUUCACAAUAAUGACAAAAAUAAGUUUACCAUCAAAUAAAGAGAAAGAAAAUUUUAGAGUCUGGUAAACACUGUGGUUGUUCAUCCCUCUCCUUUCCAUGUCUUAUAAAGAUUUUACUUUUUGUGUGUGUGUGUGUGGUCAGUGUGGGGGUUGUUGUUCGAUCCCUAAGUCAUGUCAGACUUUGUGACCCCAUGGACUGUGGCACACCAGGCUUCCCUUUCCUACACCAUCUUCCAAGGUUUGCUCAAACUCAUGUCCACUGAG
ensembl:lncRNA